rnacentral:rRNA from 1 species
GACGAACGCUGGCGGCGUGCUUAACACAUGCAAGUCGAACGGAAAGGCCCUGCUUUUGUGGGGUGCUCGAGUGGCGAACGGGUGAGUAACACGUGAGUAACCUGCCCUUGACUUUGGGAUAACUUCAGGAAACUGGGGCUAAUACCGGAUAGGAGCUCCUGCUGCAUGGUGGGGGUUGGAAAGUUUCGGCGGUUGGGGAUGGACUCGCGGCUUAUCAGCUUGUUGGUGGGGUAGUGGCUUACCAAGGCUUUGACGGGUAGCCGGCUUGAGAGGGUGACCGGCCCCAUUGGGACUGAGAUACGGCCAAGACUCAUACGGGAGGCAGCAGUGGGGAAUAUUGCACACUGGGCCGAGGCCGGAUGCAGCAACGCCGCGUGCGGGAUGACGGCCUUCGGGUUGUAAACCGCUUUAGCCUGUGACGAAGCGUGAGUGACGGUAAUGGGUAAAGAAGCACCGGCUAACUACGUG